rnacentral:rRNA from 1 species
AUGGGCUAUCUAAAUCUUAGAGGCUCUUUGCUUCCAUUGCUCUGUCUGCACCUGCUCCUGUCGCUGUUCGUCUCAUUAGCUACAGCAGACAUAGCCUCUGAGAAGCAAGCUCUCCUUGCUUUUUCCUCCGCAGUCUACCAUGGCAAGAAGCUCAACUGGGAUCAAAACAUCUCACUGUGCUCAUGGCAUGGUGUAACAUGCGCAGAGGAUCGGUCACAUGUAUUUGCCCUUAGGGUACCAGCUGCUGGGCUGAUUGGUGCAAUUCCUCCAAAUACUCUUGGCAAGCUUGUCUCCCUUCAGGUGUUAAGCCUGAGGUCUAAUCGGUUGCGCGGAAGCAUUCCUUCUGAUGUCAUCUCACUCCCUUCUUUACGUUCCAUAUUUCUUCAGCAUAAUGAACUGUCAGGAGAUUUGCCUUCCUUUUUUUCUCCAGGCCUCAUCACCCUUGAACUUUCCUACAACUCCUUUACAGGGCAAAUGCCUACAAGCUUGCAAAAUCUUACUCAGUUAUCUAUCCUGAAUUUGGCAGAAAAUUCUUUGUCUGGACCUAUUCCUGAUCUCAAACUUCCAAGCUUAAGACAAUUAAAUUUGAGCAAUAAUGAGCUGAAUGGCUCAAUUCCUCCCUUCCUCCAAGUAUUCUCAAAUAGUUCAUUCCUGGGGAACCCUGGACUGUGUGGGCCUCCUCUAGCUGAAUGCUCUGUUCUUCCUUCGCCGACACCCUCAUUACCACCGUCGCAAACAUUGCCACGACAUGGAAAGAAAGUGGCUACUGGAUAUAUAAUUGCGGCUGCUGUUGGAGGCUUUGCUGUAUUUCUGCUAGCUGCUGUGCUUUUCACUGUGUGCUUUUCAAAGAGGAAGGAUAGGAAAGAAGCGCGAGUGGAUUACAAGAGCAAGGGAGCCGAUGGUGUAAGGAUUGACAAGCAUAAAGCGGAUGUGAGCAGUGGUGUCCAAAUGGCUGCCAAGAACAAGUUGGUUUUCUUGGAGGGAUGCAGUUACAACUUUGACUUGGAAGACUUACUGAGAGCUUCCGCAGAAGUCCUUGGCAAGGGGAGCUAUGGAACCGCCUACAAAGCUUUACUCGAGGAUGGCACUAUAGUAGUUGUCAAGAGGCUCAAGGAUGUUGUGGCAGGGAAGAAAGAAUUUGAGCAGCAGAUGGAGCUUAUCGGUAGGGUAGGCAAACAUGCAAACCUCGUGCCCCUCCGUGCUUACUACUACUCGAAGGAUGAAAAGCUUGUGGUUUAUGAAUUUGUUACUACUGGCAGCUUUUCAGCCAUGCUACACGGCAUUAAGGGCAUUGUGGAGAAGACCCCAUUGGACUGGAAUACGAGGAUGAAGAUCAUACUUGGAACAGCACAGGGCAUUGCACACAUCCAUGCAGAAGGGGGCCCCAAGCUUGCUCAUGGCAACAUCAAGUCCACCAACGUGCUCCUCGAUCAAGACCACAACCCUCACGUCUCAGACUACGGGAUGAGCACUCUGAUGAGCCUCCCGAUCAACACCUCCCGGGUGGUGGUCGGCUACCGCGCCCCCGAAACCUAUGAGUCCAGGAAAUUCACCCACAAGUCGGAUGUCUACAGCUUCGGCGUGCUCCUCAUGGAGAUGCUGACCGGAAAGGCCCCCCUCCAGUCGCAGGGGCAGGAGGACGUGAUCGACCUGCCCAGGUGGGUGCAUUCCGUGGUCCGGGAGGAGUGGACCGCCGAGGUGUUCGACGUCGCGCUGAUGAAGUACCACAACAUCGAGGAUGAGCUGGUGCAGAUGCUGCAGCUGGCCAUGGCCUGCACGUCGCGGUCCCCGGACCGGCGCCCCACCAUGGCAGAGGUGAUCAGGAUGAUCGAGGACCUCCGGCAGUUCACCGCUUCUGAGAGCCGCGCCUCUUCCAAUGAAAACCCCAGGGACUCCAACCCUCCAUCGGCGUAA